AUUGAACGCUGGCGGCAGGCUUAACACAUGCAAGUCGAGCGGAGACUUCGGUCUUAGCGGCGAACGGGUGAGUAAUACCUAGGAAUCUGCCUAUUAGUGGGGGAUAACGAAUCGAAAGGUUCGCUAAUACCGCAUACGUCCUACGGGAGAAAGGGGGGAGUCUUCGGACCUCUCGCUAAUAGAUGAGCCUAGGCCGGAUUAGCUAGUUGGUAGGGUAAAGGCCUACCAAGGCGACGAUCUGUAGCUGGUCUGAGAGGAUGGCCAGCCACACUGGAACUGAGACACGGUCCAGACUCCUACGGGAGGCAGCAGUGGGGAAUAUUGGACAAUGGGGGCAACCCUGAUCCAGCCAUGCCGCGUGUGUGAAGAAGGCCUUCGGUUGUAAGUACACUUUAAGUACGAGGAGGAAGGGUACGUUU
rnacentral:rRNA from 1 species